rnacentral:rRNA from 1 species
CCUACGGGAGGCAGCAGUGAGGAAUAUUGGUCAAUGGGCGCGAGCCUGAACCAGCCAAGUAGCGUGAAGGAUGACUGCCCUAAGGAUUGUAAACUUCUUUUGUAAAGGAAUAAAGUGAGGCACGUGUGCCUUUUUGUGUGUACUUUAUGAAUAAGGAUCGGCUAACUCCGUGCCAGCAGCCGCGGUAAUACGGAGGAUCCGAGCGUUAUCCGGAUUUAUUGGGUUUAAAGGGAGCGUAGAUGGGUUGUUAAGUCAGGUGUGAAAGUUUGCGGCUCAACCGUAAAAUUGCAAUUGAUACUGGCAGCCUUGAGUACAGUUGAGGUAGGCGGAAUUCGUGGUGUAGCGGUGAAAUGCUUAGAUAUCACGAAGAACUCCGAUUGCGAAGGCAGCCUACUAACCUGACACUGACAUUGAGGCUCGAAAGUGUGGGUAUCAAACAGGAUUAGAUACCCGAGUAGUC